UGGUAACAGUGUCAAAACUUCGGCCAGGAGAAAGCUCGUCGGACUUCUACCGUUCAGAAAUGGUAGUUUUCAAACAGUUCUUCUUCUUCCCCAUUUUCACCGUUUUUUUGUUCUAAUUCUUAAUCCGUUUCUGGUCGAAAUUGUUCACCGGAUGUUAUCUCCUGAACAGUAAUAAUCUGGAGUUGUAGGCAGUUUUCUCUAUCUUAUUUUAUUGUUGCUGUUGUGCAAAAAUGGUGGGAGAUACACAUGUGCAGGUUGCAAUUUUUUCUAUGGCUUUACCGCCAUCGUUGGUUACCCUUCCGCGUAGAACUUCAAAUAGGUUGCCUUAUCAUCUCCCGUUGGGUCUAAAAACAAAAGUAAAGAAAAUAAAGGCUACAUCUACUGAGGCUGGACAUAGUCAGCCACCAUCAUCUUCUGAAAGAAGGAAUCCACUUGCCUUUUUCCUUGAUGUUCCUCGUACCGUAUGGAGGCAAACAUUGCAUCCAUUGAGUAAUUUUGGGUUCGGUCAAAGGAGCAUAUGGGAAGGUGGGGUUGGCUUGUUUUUAGUUUCAGGUGCUAUACUUCUCACACUCAGUUUGGCGUGGUUGAGAGGCUUUCAACUGCGGUCUAAAUUUAGAAAAUACUUGGCUGUCUUUGAGUUUGCUCAGGCUUGUGGUAUCUCUACUGGAACCCCUGUGAGAAUUAGAGGAGUUACCAUUGGCAAUGUCAUCCGUGUUAACCCUUCCUUGAGAUGUAUUGAAACUGUUGUUGAGGUUGAAGAUGAUAAAAUAAUCAUACCUCUUAAUUCACUGGUUGAAGUAAACCAGUCUGGUCUUCUUAUGGAGACAAUGAUUGACAUUACUCCCCGCAAUCCUAUUCCUGUCCCUUCAGCUGGACCACUUGACUCGGAAUGUAUUAAAGAAGGUUUAAUAUUAUGUGAUAAGCAGAAAAUGAAGGGGCAGCAAGGGGUAAGUUUGGAUGCAUUAGUCGGAAUAUUCACUCGGCUUGGGCGCGAAGCAGAGGAAAUAGGACUUUCCAAUACGUUUUCAUUAGCCCAACGAGUUGCUUUGGUUAUUGAAGAAGCAAAGCCUUUGCUUUUAAAGAUCCAAGCCAUGGCUGAAGAUGUUCAUCCUUUGCUUGCUGAGGUUCGUGACAGUGGUCUUCUAAAGGAGGUUGAAAACUUAACUAGAAGUCUUUCUCUAGCCACUGAAGAUUUAAGAAGUGUUCAUGCAUCUGUUAUGACCCCCGAAAACACGGAACUGCUUCAAAAGUCCAUUCAUACGCUAAUUCUUACUUUGAAGAACAUAGAGAGUUUAAGCUCCGAUGUCAUUGGGUUUACUGGUGAUGAGGCUACAAAACGGAACUUAAAAUUGCUGAUCAAAUCUCUGAGCAGGCUACUAUGAGACAAAGGUGUAAAGGAAAUGGGAUUGUAUGAACCCGAUAUUCGACAACGUUGUAUUUUCAAUCCUUUCAUAUUGCAAGCACGAAGCCAAAGUGGCUAGACGUAUUUUCAUAUCUAUUGCAGUUUUGUCUUCCGCGGGGCGGGGAGGGAGGAGGGAGCAGGCAUUGGCAAAAAUUUCGUCAAAAGUUAUAUCCGUAGUUAUUAGAAAAUACUUAUGAAACUUCUUAGGCGUUGGCUUUGGCUGAAUUCCAUUGAAGAAAGCUAUGGAAGACAUUUCAGGACAAGAUGAUAACUUCAUGGAGAUCUGUCUCUGCCAAUUUGCUUUCCUAUCCUUGCAAGGUACUGAAAUUUUUUACAUUUGAAUUGUCCAUUUCUUGGUUAAUAAUGCUUUAAAGGUGAGGUAAAAAAGAUAAAUAAGUUUCACUUUUUAACCUUCGGUUACACAAA